AGAGAAAUUGCGACUAAAAAAAGCCUCACCAGUUAUCUAUGCUAACAGGGAACGUGGCAAAACUCUAGCUGCAGCAUACCUUACACCCCUCUUGCAAGUUUAGCAUUUCUGGGCAGACAAAGAUAUUUAAGCGGCAUAACUCAUUUCCAUCAAUCUUUCAGAGUUUUGACCAACGUGCUUUCAUGCUUCUGCAUUUUGUCCACAUGGUUCUCGGUAGUGCUGCUAAAAUACUGUGCUUAUCUGACACCUGCAGUCAAAUUAAUCCCAAGUUAAGCCUGACAAAGUCACUAAAAGGAAAACAGUUGUCUGCUUAAGAACUUGGGAAUCAGACACAAAACCAGCUGCUUGAUACGUGCUUAAAAAUCAUUAGCAAGCACUUAAAAAUUAAUUUCAAGAUUAUGCUUGAUAAGGCUUACAAAACCUACAAUUAACUCUGUGUUUUACUGGGAGAAAGUCGCACCCUUAUGUGUCAGUGUUUUCACACAGAAAAUCACAUAGUCUUAGGACUUGUUGCGACUUGGCUGUAAAUAUUUACCUUAGACAGCAGUUUAGUAGUACACAAGGUUACAGCCCAAAAGCAAAUAUUUCAUACCAAGUUUCAAAUAUAUGGAUUUUCCCAUUUGUAAAUGAUUCAGGCAGCCUUUCCCCUCCCUUAGAACUGCUAACUCAAUCUAUAAACAUAAAUAUACCAUUUCAGAGGAGAGAGGAUACAAAUCACACAUCAGUACAGUAGUCCUCAGGGAGUUUAUUAUGGGGUAAUUGGACCAAACGAGGGCCAACUUCUGGCCUGAUUUACAGUCUCAGCAAAUCUAUUGACAUCAGCAGAGGUCUAAGGAAAGGAAGAAUUUGGCUUUGAGGGGUGGGAAAGACUUUUAAAUUACUCCAACUUAGGCUCCCUAGGCUAACUUCUGCUCUGAAGGGGUACCAUUAUAAAUGUGACUUGCAAGCAACUCGGCUUGCUGGCUAUGCAUGGAUGUAACUCAGAGCAAGGCUUUGCCUCCCCAGCAAUGCUUACUCAUCAAUUCUGAAUUUGGCUUCUCCAAACAAUUAUAACCCUCUGCAGAUAUUGCAUAACAUCACUGAGCGUGUGUGGUUUUCUUAUAUAAUUCCUUAGGCUGGUUGCAAAGCAGAGCUCCAGGCUAGAGGCCAAGUCACACACGGUAUGAGCAGCUUCAGAAAUAACCACCAUUCAGGUUUGUUUACUGCAAGGAGCUCUCGAAGGAAACCAGCAAAUUAAGGAAAGCCAAGUUGAGAUGCUGGAGUGGAGCACAGAGGAGCAACAGGGACAUGAGAUUUUCAUUACUGCAAUGCCUUCUACAGGCUUUCCCUCUGCCUCUGUACUUGCAGGAAGAAAAUCUCUUGGGGACAGCCUAGUUACAGACAUUUUUGUUUCCAUUUGGACCAUCCUGCUUCCUGCUGAAAAUGAGCAACCGACUUCACUGGAACCUUUCUACAGGUUGCUCAGGUUCAUGAUUUUCAAGAAGAGAGAAGAUUUACAUAUGUGAAAUAACUAUUUGUGGGUCUGUAAGUUUACUUUUCUUUGCUCAUACAGACUGACAGCUUGGAUGCCUGCUGAGUUCUGAGCAACAGAACCUGCCACCUGUGACACCCAGUGUAUUCUCUGAAGGUAUUCUCCUCACUGUUAAUGGUCUUCAAUAGAGAACCUCUCAAAACAAGAGCAGGCAAAACAGCACCCAUCAGAAAUCGUGUAUGUUUGGUUCGAAAGCAGAAGCUCGGGAACAGAGGUCUUUUGUCUCUGAUGCUGUCUAAACCUGAUGACAUGUGCAAGGUACAGGCUAAUUGACUUCCAGUCACCUGCAGCGUUGGAAUUGUUCCUAUUGCAGCUUCUUGCUGCUGCUCUCAGCCUUGCAGUGAAUUUGGAAUUUUACCUGUGAGGUUUCUACAUCAAUGUCUGCAUGAAGACCUUGAGACCCCCCUGAAGCUCUCUUUGAAAAACAAGAAGAAGAAAAACAUACACCUGAAUGAAUAUUUAAUAGCUGGGUAGACAGGGCCCAGGAGAUGAGACCUGGAGGUUCAAGUUGCAAUUGUGUCUGCUUUUGAGGAGCGCCUUGAACCCGAACUUCUGACAGCUGGAUGAAAGAUGCAGUCAACAGACUUGUGCAGUCUGUCUUGAAGCUGCUUCUCUUUUUUUGGAAUAAAAAUAAAGAUUAUUAUUACAAAAUAUGACUGAGUUAAUGGUCACUGGUGCCAUCACUAAUUUAUCCAUCUCACUUUCUUUGAAAGCUUUAUUCAAAUCGAUAUUUUUCUGUGAAAGAUUUUUCUUUCUCCAAGACAGAUUAAACUGGGAAUACUGGAGAGUCUAAAAAUUCCCCAACCCAUGCAAUUCCAUUGAGCCAUCUUCUUUUAACCUUCUUAGGUGAACAUCUGCACUUAGCAUCAGAAAACAUUUUGCUUUCCUGUAGGGUUGCAGACAUUUACCCAUCCCUGACUUGAAAUAUAGAUUUUACUCAUAUAUUCAGACCCACAGCUGAUGUUGAACUAAAUUCCUUGAUC